rnacentral:rRNA from 1 species
CCUACGGGUGGCUGCAGUGGGGAAUAUUGGACAAUGGGCGAAAGCCUGAUCCAGCCAUGCCGCGUGUGUGAAGAAGGCCUUCGGGUUGUAAAGCACUUUCAGUGGGGAAGAAAGCCUUGGGGCUAAUACCCUCGAGGAAGGACAUCACCCACAGAAGAAGCACCGGCUAACUCCGUGCCAGCAGCCGCGGUAAUACGGAGGGUGCGAGCGUUAAUCGGAAUUACUGGGCGUAAAGCGCGCGUAGGCGGUCUGAUAAGCCGGUUGUGAAAGCCCCGGGCUCAACCUGGGAACGGCAUCCGGAACUGUCAGGCUAGAGUGCAGGAGAGGAAGGUAGAAUUCCCGGUGUAGCGGUGAAAUGCGUAGAGAUCAGGAGGAAUACCAGUGGCGAAGGCGGCCUUCUGGACUGACACUGACGCUGAGGUGCGAAAGCGUGGGUAGCAAACAGGAUUAGAUACCCCGUAGUC